AGAUACUCCGUAGCUCAAUGGUUAGAGCAUCCGACCGGUGUACGGAAGGUCAUGGAUUUGAAUCCUGUCGAAUCCC